rnacentral:tmRNA from 1 species
GGGGAUGAUCGGUUUCGACGGCGAUGACUGCCGAAGGGAAGCGGGUAGAGGAUGCAAAGUCAUCUCUUAAACGAUCUUUGCAAACUAUAACUGCCAACAAGCAGAAGUCUGACUUCGCCCUCGCUGCCUAAGCGCGAGCGCACUUAAAGAAGUCCGUCACACUAGCGUCGCUUUCACGCUAGAUUCGUGGCGUCGUUUUUGAAAGCCACUGGAUCACAUUCGGGUUACCGGGAUGUGAUCGACUUUAGGUAACUAUGUUUGUCAGCAACUCGUCUGCGUGAGUGCUGGAGCUGAAAACAACGUGCAGCAGACUGCACCCGGAGAAGUCUUGGGUUUUGCAUCGUCGGACGGGAGUUCAAUUCUCCCCAUCUCCAC